rnacentral:lncRNA from 1 species
CCAUGUUGCUCUGGCCGGUGAGUAUGAAGAUACUCUUUUCAUCAGUUGCACAUACUAGAAAUUCAGAAGUUUGGAACUGAAAUGCAGCCAAGGAUAGAAAACAAAAUCAAAUUUUCAGUUUGUUAGAGAAAAAAUUUAAAAGAGAUGUUUCCUUCAAUGAUUUUCAUGUUCUUGGUUGCCUUUCAGUUCCAUACUUUUGAAUUUCUAGUAUGUGCAAUCGAUGAAAAGAAUAUCUUCAUACUCGUCAGCCAGAGCAACAUGGCUGGCCGAGGUAGUGUGACAAAUGGGACUUUGGAUGGUUGCGUCCCUCAUGAAUGCCAGAUUCUUAGACUUAACAGAAAGCCGAUGUGGGAGGAAGCACAAGAAUCUCUACAUAGAGGCAUCGACACAACUAAAACUUGAGGGAUGGGACCGGGAAUGUCAUUUGUAAAUUCAGUGCUGGAAAGAGAUCCUUGCCUCGGGGUGAUCGGUUUGCUCCCCUGUGCUUCGGGUGGAACCAAUAUAACCGAGUGGAAACAAGGCUCUGAUCUUUAUAAUCGGCUCUUGAAGAAAGCUAAUGCAGCACUAUGAGAUGGAGGAAAAAUUCGAGCAAUUCCGUGGUAUCAAGGUGAAAGUGAUUCUGCAGAUGAAACAAGAGCUAAAAUGUAUAAGAAGAGGUUGAUAGAAUUUUUCUUUGACAUCCGGCGAGAUUUAGCUUCCCCUGUGCUCCCAAUUAUUCAGGUAUGGUCACUUUGCAAAUUUUCCGUAAGGUGAACUGAUAUUCUUUAGAUCUGAUUUGAUUUUCGUCUUCGUUAUUUUCUUAAUCAACCAAAUGGGGUUUUAAUUUUGGAUCAAAUUGAUCUUUUCGAUUGCUCAUUCUCUUUGCACUCUGCAUUUUAAUUCCAUUGAUCAACAUUUGCUGUUUGUCUGGUGUUUCACUUUCUUUUCUAACAACGUACUGGUAAUUUUAGAUUUCAGAUCGUUUUUCCCCUAAAAAUGGGGUUUUUAGUUAGUCAUCAAUGAGUUUUCAUCUGAAAAUGUGCUGAAAUCAGUUGCUAAUUGGUUUUAUUGUAUUUAUGCCUAAUGGUUUUGGGGGCAUUUAAAAUUCCUUAGAUGUCUCUUCAACAUUUUGGUACAACUAUUGAAGUUUUGUUAAAAUUACUAAGUAUUUGUUUUCAUUUUCCAGUGAUUCUCGUAUAUAUGUCAAUUAGUUUUAUAUAGUAUUUGUCAGCACAAGCAAUAUUUUAUAUCGAAUAAAUCAUAAAAUUAUAUGAUCACUGGUUGCAGGUGGCAUUGGCUUCAAAUGUGGGGCUCUAUUACGUGGUUGUAAGAAAGGCCCAACUAGAGAUCAAACUACCAAAUGUAGUAUGUAUUGAUACCAAGGGACUAGAGGUGAAGAAAAAUGAUACACUUCACCUUACCACUUCAGCUCAAGUCCACUCCGGAAAGAUGUUGGCUAAUGUCUUUCUUCAUAUUGAAGUUUAGUGUAUUGAUCUAGGCAUGUGUGAAAAAAAUAAAUAUUGAAUUGGGAAUAUAGUGCUUGUUUGAAUCAAAGACAACGAUUUUUAGCAAUCAAUAUUAUAGGAAAAUUGUUAAAAGACGUACAAAUUGUUGCAUACAAAGGGUUUUCUUAGAAAAUUGUUUCAAAAAGAC